CUUUACUAUAACCUAACAUUGUGUUUUGACAUUACAUGCGUAGCAUAGGUGGGAGACUUUGAAGCCUGGGUUCUGGCCUGGGCUGAGUCGCAAUGUGAAAUACCACCCUUGUGAUAUCGAAAUUCUAACUCAAGUUUCUGAAUCGAGGCUGAGGACAGUGUUAGGCGGGUAGUUUGACUGGGGCGGUCGCCUCCUAAAAUGUAACGGAGGCUCCCAAAGGUUUCCUCAGCACGCUUGGUAACCGUGCGCAGAGUGCAAAGGCACAAGGAAGCUUAACUGUAAGGCAUACAAGCCGAACAGAGACGAAAGUCGGGCUUAGUGAUCCGGUGGUUUCUGCAUGGAAUGGCCAUCGCUCAAAGGAUAAAAGGUA
rnacentral:rRNA from 1 species